UACGUAGGUGGCAAGCGUGUCCGGAUUUAUUGGGUUUAAAGGGUGCGUAGGCGGCAUUUUAAGUCAGUGGUGAAAUACUUCAGCUUAACUGGAGAGGUGCCAUUGAUACUGGGAUGCUUGAGUACUGAUGAGGUAGGCGGAAUGGACGGUGUAGCGGUGAAAUGCUUAGAUAUCGUCCAGAACACCGAUAGCGAAGGCAGCUUACUAAGGAGUAACUGACGCUGAGGCACGAAAGUGUGGGGAUCAAACAGG
rnacentral:rRNA from 1 species